rnacentral:lncRNA from 1 species
GCCCCAAAAGCAGCUGCAGCAAAGCCUAAACCUGCUGCAAAGGCUCCUGCCAAAUCUUUGCCGGAGUUGAUGUCGGAGGAUGUCAUCCCUUCAUUGAAAACAAUACUUGAAGCUCAAGAUGAUAUAUCUGAAAUUGAGCUCACUUUCCAAGACAACAAGGUUUGUUCUAAUCCAUCUUUUUCCCCAAGAUUUGGCAUUUUAAAUUUGCUCUAUAUGAUGAGAUAUAUGAAUGUUCCUCCCAUUCAAACUCGACAGUUGGAAGGUUCAUUCCUGAAGGAGGGCUGUCCCUACUCUUUCUGGGCCUUCUUCCCUGAUGGAGGCCUAACAGGUAUUGUAUACUUUGGGCAAAUUGGAAACUAUGUAUCAUUUCCAUUUCUGCAGUAAUUAUGUGACUAAUUUUCUCCCAUUUGCUUGCGUAGGUCCCAAAGGUUUUUCAUUGUCUUCAUAUGGCUCAGGAGCAAGCACAGUGGAGCCUUUCCUCGUUGAUGAGAAGAAAAUUACUGCAAGGCAUGUAGUUUUCUGGGUCGAAAAGCGUUUGGCCGCCCAAGGAAUUAUUCCUGUCUGGAAAGAAUGAUUUAUAGUAUAACAAGAAAUGCUGCC